ACGCUCGACACCUACGGGUGGCAGCAGUGGGGAAUAUUGCACAAUGGGGGAAACCCUGAUGCAGCGACGCCGCGUGAGCGAAGAAGUAUUUCGGUAUGUAAAGCUCUAUCAGCAGGGAAGAAAAUGACGGUACCUGACUAAGAAGCCCCGGCUAACUACGUGCCAGCAGCCGCGGUAAUCUGAGCGGGCUGGCAAGGC
rnacentral:rRNA from 1 species